CGAAUCCUGAUGUGUUCGUUAAUUGCCACAUCGAUUUUGACCGAACUAUUUUAUCGUCGGGAAUCCUUUCUUUUGUAAUGGCUAACAUGCCCCCAGGGGACGUUUUAAGUUACAAAGUGGAUACCCACCUGCUGUGUGCGGGCUCAAAACGAUACGCUUCAUAAUGACGGCACGAUUGGGAUUCGU
rnacentral:other from 1 species